UGAUUUUCUUUUUGUAGAUGGAUAACAUGGAGUGCUUUUUCAAGGAGAAAAUGGGUGUCAUUGCUGAACUUCGAAGUUCUGGAGUACCUAUGGAAUGUGCCUAGCCAUUGCAUAGCAUGGAAGUAGGGCUUGGUUGCAGAAAUAUGUGCUUUGACUAUAGAAAUAGCAUGGAACCAGAGCCAGGAAGGUGCAGAAGAACAGAUGGAAAGAAAUGGUGAUUCUCUAAGGAUGUGGUGUCGGAUCAAAAGUACUGUGAGCGCCACAUGCAUAGAGGUCGUCAACGUUCAAGAAAGCCUGUGGAAGGCAAUGCCACUGCCAACAACAACACCACCACCACCACCAAAUACACCAUCGAUUCCAACACCAAUCUCUCCAUUUCAAUCUUCUUUAAUUACGGAGAGAAUAUUUUGAAAUGACAGAAACUGAUGAAAUUUCCCAGUAUUUAUAGCGAAGAGUUCUACCUCGAAUUUCAGUAGGCACUUGUUAUUGGGGUUUUAUAAGUAGGGACUGCAGCAGCUGGAUCUCGUGUCACAUUUCAAUGAUCCAAACCGUUUAUAUGAUGGGCCUCAAAGCAGAUGGGGGUUAAGUAAAAUAACUCUCACAUUUGGAUAUUUUCUUUGCUACUUCUUUUUCUGUCUU